GGGACAGGGACAGAAAGGACAGGUCCUGAGGGUUGGGCCUUCGUUCAGGGGUAGGAAAAGGGUUCCUUUCAGCAAACCCCAGGGUUGACCACACUCCAGCCUCCGGGAGCGGCUCAUUAACCCUGGUUGGCAAGAGCCCCCCAGCCAGCGAACGCCAGGAACAAACAGGGGAAGAGGAAGUGGCUUCCGAUUCGAGCAAGCGAGCCUGAAUUCUCUUUCACUCUUUCUUCCCCAGCCGUGGGCAUCUGGGCACUGCUCCAUCAGCACCUCCGGGGGUGGGGUGGGGGGGGCCCAUCCUCGCAUGCUCCUCGGUUGAGAGAAGACCAUCUUGGCUGAUGACAGUGAAGCCAGGAGGCCAAAAGGCGAGUAGAGUCAGGGCCUCACCUGUGUCCCUGCAAACCAGCAGGGGCGCGGUCCCUACGGGCCGUCCCAGUGGCCCCACCAAAGGCUCCUCUGUCAGUGGGGUGGCCAGAUGUCUCCAGGAACUUCUGAAUUUCACCAAGUCAAGCUGCCCACUCUCCACUCCACAAGGAUGCUAAAUGUUUUGUUUUGUUUUUUUUAAAUCUGAUUUUAGAACCUCGGUAAUGCAUGUGCAUUGCGUCUUUCCUAUUAGGGGCCAGGAUAGAUUAAUGUUUUCCAACAUAGAGGAAAAGAUAUAAGCUGCAGUAAUUUGUUCUUUUUGGUGUCCAUUAAACCCAAUAUAGAGUAUGCUGGUAUCCUCUUGUGUUCCCUGUGCCUUUUUUUUUUUUUUUUCUCUCCUGUACCACUUGCGUCCAAAAAGGAAUGGAUAACAAGUGCUUUUCAAUGUUAACUUUGGUAACUUCUCCACCGUCUGUGUGGCAAUGGGGAGAGGGCAGGCCUGUAUCAGCUGAGCUUAUUAGAGGAAAUAAGUUAUUAUAGGAUAGUUGAGAUAUUACCAUUUUCUCUGGGAAUCCUACUGUGAAAUCAUCUAUAUAUUAUUACGGAGCAGUUCACUUAGAGUAGAACCUGGAAUUUCUCACGUGCUUCUCAGCCCUCCCUCGUCUCCGCUGCCCGUCAUUUCUCCUCCGAUGCUAGAACAUUGUUGUAAGAAUGACUCAUUUUUUUGAAGAAGCUGCCCUUAAAAUAACUUAAAAAAAAAGAGAGAGAGAGAGAGGAACUUGUCAUUUACCCAAUUUUUCCUUUGCAGGAUGGAAAGCAAGAAAAAGGCAUGGGAAGUUGUAAUGGGAUUUUUUUCCUUUGGGUUUUUAUCAGAUCAUCUUGAAGCUUUCAGGUUGUUAGACAGAGGAGCCUGUCUCCCAGCGGUAGCGCGGAGGCCUCUAAGGCCGUUUGGUCACAUCUGUAAUUACUGAGGAAAAGUUAACCGAACAUGAAAAAGUUAUGCUGAUGUUAAGUAUUUUCCCAGAGAAGUCGAUUUCACGCUUCCUAAUGGCUCUGCCUCCUGUGCUUCUGUCAUCAGAAAACCUCUUGAAGAAGUGAUCCAAAUUUCUGUUUUAACCUGAUCUUGGGCAACCGCUAAACUUCAGGGUUUAUUUGUGUGUAUGGCACGAAUUCUACACUUUGGAGGCAUUUCGGUGUUGUGAUGGCCCAUUGCCGUUGUAAAGGUUCUGGAAUGGCCCCUGUGUCUCUGGAGAUGGAAUUAAACCAAAUAAAGUGCUUCCAUUGGAAGGCUUCUAUUGACCUUGUAACUAUCUGUUAAUCCUCUAAAUGUUAAAUAAAAGUAUAACUUCUGGCACGGUU
ensembl:lncRNA